AGAGUUUGAUUCUGGCUCAGGAUGAACGCUGGCGGCGUGCCUAAUACAUGCAAGUCGAACGGGGUACAGAAGCAAUUUUGUACUUAGUGGCGAACGGGUGAGUAACGCGUUGGUGACCUGCCCCAAAGCGGGGGAUAACAGCCUGAAAGGGUUGCUAAUACCGCAUGUGGUUGAAAGAGAUUAGAAGCUUUCAAUUAAAGGAUAUAUCCACUUUGGGAGGGGCCUGCGUCCCAUCAGCUAGUUGGUAGGGUAACGGCCUACCAAGGCGAAGACGGGUAGGGGACCUGAGAGGGUGACCCCCCACAAUGGAACUGAAACACGGUCCAUACACCUACGGGUGGCAGCAGUAGGGAAUAUUGCGCCAUGGGCGAAAGCCUGAUGCAGCAACGCCGCGUGAGUGAAGAAGGCCCUCGGGUCGUAAAACUCUUUUCAAGAGGAAGAGGAAGGACGGUACUCUUGGAAUAAGCCUCGGCUAACUACGUGCCAGCAGCCGCGGUAACACGUAGGAGGCGAGCGUUAUUCGGAUUUACUGGGCGUAAAGCGCGUGCAGGCGGCUCUUUAAGUUGGAUGUGAAAGCUCCCGGCUUAACUGGGAGAGGACGUUCAAAACUGAAGAGCUUGAGUAUGAGAGAGGAAAAUGGAAUUCCGGGUGUAGUGGUGAAAUGCGUAGAUAUCCGGAGGAACACCAGUGGCGAAGGCGAUUUUCUGGCUCGUAACUGACGCUCAGACGCGAAAGCUAGGGUAGCAGACGGGAUUAGAUACCCUGGUAGUC
rnacentral:rRNA from 1 species